rnacentral:rRNA from 1 species
UGGGGAAUUUUGGACAAUGGGCGAAAGCCUGAUCCAGCAAUGCCGCGUGCAGGAUGAAGGCCCUCGGGUUGUAAACUGCUUUUGUACGGAACGAAAAGCCUGGGGCUAAUAUCCCCGGGUCAUGACGGUACCGUAAGAAUAAGCACCGGCUAACUACGUGCCAGCAGCCGCGGUAAUACGUAGGGUGCAAGCGUUAAUCGGAAUUACUGGGCGUAAAGCGUGCGCAGGCGGUUUUGUAAGACAGUGGUGAAAUCCCCGGGCUCAACCUGGGAACUGCCAUUGUGACUGCAAGGCUAGAGUGCGGCAGAGGGGGAUGGAAUUCCGCGUGUAGCAGUGAAAUGCGUAGAUAUGCGGAGGAACACCGAUGGCGAAGGCAAUCCCCUGGGCCUGCACUGACGCUCAUGCACGAAAGCGUGGGGAGCAAACAGGAUUAGAUACCCUGGUAGUCCACGCCCUAAACGAUGUCAACUGGUUGUUGGGUCUUAACUGACUCAGUAACGAAGCUAACGCGUGAAGUUGACCGCCUGGGGAGUACGGCCGCAAGGUUG